rnacentral:rRNA from 1 species
UACGGGGGGGGCAAGCGUUGUUCGGAAUUACUGGGCGUAAAGGGCUCGUAGGCGGCCAACUAAGUCAGACGUGAAAUCCCUCGGCUUAACCGGGGAACUGCAUCUGAUACUGGAUGGCUUGAGUUCGGGAGAGGGAUGCGGAAUUCCAGGUGUAGCGGUGAAAUGCGUAGAUAUCCGGAGGAACACCGGUGGCGAAGGCGGCUUCCUGGACCGACACUGACGCUGAGGCGCGAAAGCUAGGGGAGCAAACGGG